rnacentral:rRNA from 1 species
UACGUAGGGUGCAAGCUUUAAUCGGAAUUACUGGGCGUAAAGCGUGCGCAGGCGGCUUUGCAAGACAGAUGUGAAAUCCCCGGGCUCAACCUGGGAACUGCAUUUGUGACUGCAUGGCUGGAGUGCGGCAGAGGGGGAUGGAAUUCCGCGUGUAGCAGUGAAAUGCGUAGAUAUGCGGAGGAACACCGAUGGCGAAGGCAAUCCCCUGGGCCUGCACUGACGCUCAUGCACGAAAGCGUGGGGAGCAAACAGG